GACCCACUGACUCGCAAAAGCGAAAAUAUAGAACUUCACAGCAGGGACACAUUUUGAUAAAAUUAAACGAAAUGUGUAGUCUCUGUGCGUCUAUGGAGAAACCUGAAAUGGAAACGGAGUGGGAGAGUACACGUGGCUAUGAGACAACUUUCAGUAGAUUCAAUUAUACUUCAAGCUUGAUGCUGUUAUGUUUUCUGUUUCCAACUGUGACAGAACCUGGAACAGAAAUGAAGUGUGUGACAAUAAUUCAUAGACAAAUUUAGACUAAUACUCUUUCAUGGAUGCUAAAUUUGGUAGAUCUAGCCAUAAAUGUUUUAUUAUAAUUCAAAGUGGUAUAUAGUUAUAUUUAUAAUAAUUCAUUGUUUGAAUUUGUUUUUAUAGAGCACUUUAUUGAACUAAAAUAAUCAUAGCUGCAUUUAGUAAAUUAUUUAGCACACGUGUGACUGCUGACUCAUGCCUUAAGUGUUUCAGCUGCUAAAAUAUGUUUUUGGGAUAUUUUUUCUGGAUAGAAAUUUACCUUUCUGAUAUUGUACGAGUGUUUGGACAUUCCUUUCAAAGGUGAAAUAUGGCUACUUAUAUUGCUUUGUUUCUAAUAAUGAUAUUGAAGGUGUAAAGUAUGUAAAUAUUUUUGUAAGAAAUUGAUUAAACAUAUUGGCCAAUCAUU